rnacentral:rRNA from 1 species
GACGAACGCCGGCGGCGUGCCUAAUACAUGCAAGUCGAACGCUUCUUUCCUCCCGAGUGCUUGCACUCAAUUGGAAAGAGGAGUGGCGGACGGGUGAGUAACACGUGGGUAACCUACCCAUCAGAGGGGGAUAACACUUGGAAACAGGUGCUAAUACCGCAUAACAGUUUAUGCCGCAUGGCAUAAGAGUGAAAGGCGCUUUCGGGUGUCGCUGAGUGAUGGACCCGCGGUGCAUUAGCUAGUUGGUGAGGUAACGGCUCACCAAGGCCACGAUGCAUAGCCGACCUGAGAGGGUGAUCGGCCACACUGGGACUGAGACACGGCCCAGACUCCUACGGGAGGCAGCAGUAGGGAAUCUUCGGCAAUGGACGGAAGUCUGACCGAGCAACGCCGCGUGAGUGAAGAAGGUUUUCGGAUCGUAAAACUCUGUUGUUAGAGAAGAACAAGGACGUUAGUAACUGAACGUCCCCUGACGGUAUCUAACCAGAAAGCCACGGCUAACUACGUGCCAGCCGCCGCGGUAA